GGGGAGUUUGGUGCUGUGGAAAAACCCUUGCUGUUGCUUCUAUUAGCUUUGAAAAACCCCAGAAAUCCUUUCUUUUCUUUUUCUAUUGCAUCGUUGCUUAGUGAAACACUUCGACUUGGUUCUCUGUAGUUCAGAGAAGGGUCAGACUGAGUUUUUGAUGGAGGAACUCUUUUUCGGUCCCAGGCGUACAGCUCGCUUAUUCCCAG
rnacentral:lncRNA from 1 species